UACGUAGGGGGCAAGCGUUGUCCGGAUUCAUUGGGCGUAAAGAGCUCGUAGGCGGCUUGGCAAGUCGGGUGUGAAAACUUCAGGCUCAACCUGGAGCGGCCACUCGAUACUGCCAUGGCUAGAGUCCGGUAGGGGACCACGGAAUUCCUGGUGUAGCGGUGAAAUGCGCAGAUAUCGGGAGGAACACCGGUGGCGAAGGCGGAUCUCUGGGCCAUUACUGACGCUGAGGAGCGAAAGCGUGCGGAGCGAACAGG
rnacentral:rRNA from 1 species